rnacentral:rRNA from 1 species
UGGGGAAUAUGCACAAUGGGCGAAAGCCUGAUGCAGCGACGCCGCGUGAAGGAUGAAGUAUUUCGGUAUGUAAACUUCUAUCAGCAGGGAAGAAAAUGACGGUACCUGACUAAGAAGCCCCGGCUAACUACGUGCC